UAUUGAUUAGGGUCAAUGUAACCAUCUGCUCUGAUCAGUAGCUACAAAUGGAUCUCAGAUGCUGUCCCCCAGCUUUCUUCAAUUAAGCUGGGAGGAAGCCAGUUCCCAUGGCAGUGCUUUUAAGGACUGAUAAGGGCACUUGUAGCCUUCUGAGGGCCUUGAUCCAAGAAGCAUUAGCAGGAGUGGGGAGUGUGGUGGCAGUAUCAUUGGUGUGUUCCUCUUGUGCAAGAGGUGAAUUAAGCCUGGAGAAAGGCUCUGAGUACUACUAA
rnacentral:lncRNA from 1 species